rnacentral:rRNA from 1 species
CAGUCGCCGCGGUAAUACGAAGGGUGCAAGCGUUAAUCGGAGUUACUGGGCGUAAAGCGUGCGUAGGCGGUGAGUUAAGUCUGCUGUGAAAUCCCCGGGCUCAACCUGGGAAUGGCAGUGGAUACUGGCUCGCUAGAGUGUGUCAGAGGAUGGUGGAAUUCCCGGUGUAGCGAUGAAAUGCGUAGAGAUCGGGAGGAACAUCAGUGGCGAAGGCGGCCAUCUGGGACAACACUGACGCUGGGGCACGAAAGCGUGGGGAGCAAACAGGAUUAGAUACCCCUGUAGUCCCUGUCUCUUAUAC